rnacentral:lncRNA from 1 species
AUGGCUAUGGUGGACGCUACAGACCUAGGAGACCUAGCUAGGAAGUGCAAUUUGGGAAUUUCUUAUCUGCAAGGUUUGAUUUUCCCUGUUUAUUUUUUUAGUGAAUUUAUUGUUGAUCAUAAUCAUAGGAUUGAAAUUGGAGGCUUUGAGCAGAGAGUGAAAGAAGUUUCGAAUUGUAUUGCUUGUACUCAUUUUGGAAAUUUUACGUUUGCCAAUCCAUUUAUGUAAAUUCUUGAAUGUUAUACCUUUAUCAGUCUUUUGCUUCCUAGUGUUCUGGUAG